UAUUGCACAAUGGGGGAAACCCUGAUGCAGCCAUGCCGCGUGUGUGAAGAAGGCCUUCGGGUUGUAAAGCACUUUCAGUAGGGAGGAAAGGUAGCAGCUUAAUACGCUGUUGCUGUGACGUUACCUACAGAAGAAGGACCGGCUAACUCCGUGCCAGCAGCCGCGGUAAUACGGAGGGUCCGAGCGUUAAUCGGAAUUACUGGGCGUAAAGCGUGCGCAGGCGGUUUGUUAAGCGAGAUGUGAAAGCCCCGGGCUCAACCUGGGAAUUGCAUUUCGAACUGGCGAACUAGAGUCUUGUAGAGGGGGGUAGAAUUCCAGGUGUAGCGGUGAAAUGCGUAGAGAUCUGGAGGAAUACCGGUGGCGAAGGCGGCCCCCUGGACAAAGACUGACGCUCAGGCACGAAAGCGUGGGGAGCAAACAGGAUUAGAUACCCUGGUAGUCCACGCCGUAAACGAUGUCUACUCGGAGUUUGGUGUCUUGAACACUGGGCUCUCAAGCUAACGCAUUAAGUAGACCGCCUGGGGAGUACGGCCGCAAGGUUAAAACUCAAAUGAAUUGACGGGGCAGCCU
rnacentral:rRNA from 1 species